GCUGUGAUGGCCGAGUGGUUAAGGCAUUGGACUUGAAAUCCAAUGGGGGUUCCCCGCGCAGGUACGAUACUCUGCUCACAGCG